AGAGUGAACGCUGGCGGUAGGCCUAACACAUGCAAGUCGAACGGCAGCACAGUAGGAGCUCGCUCUUACGGGUGGCGAGUGGCGGACGGGUGAGGAAUACAUCGGAAUCUACCUUUUGGUGGGGGAUAACGUAGGGAAACUUACGCUAAUACCGCAUACGCCCUUCGGGGGAAAGCCGGGGACCAGCAAUGGCCUGGUGCUGAUAGAUGAGCCGAUGUCGGAUUAGCUAGUUGGUGAGGUAAUGGCUCACCAAGGCGACGAUCCGUAGCUGGUCUGAGAGGAUGAUCAGCCACACUGGAGCUGAGACACGGUCCAGACUCCGUACGGGAGCAGCAGGUGGGAAUAGUGGACAAGUGGGACGAAGCCUGAUCCAGCCAGUCGGCCGUGUGUGUGGAACGUAAGGUCUUACGGAUUAG
rnacentral:rRNA from 1 species